rnacentral:rRNA from 1 species
AGACACGCCCCAGACUCCUACGGGAGGCAGCAGUGAGGAAUAUUGGACAAUGGAUGGAAAUCUGAUCCAGCCAUGCCGCGUGCAGGAAGACGGCCUUAUGGGUUGUAAACUGCUUUUAUACGGGAGCAAUAAGGGUUACGAGUAAUCCGAUGAGAGUACUGUAUGAAUAAGGAUCGGCUAACUCCGUGCCAGCAGCCGCGGUAAUACGGAGGAUCCGAGCGUUAUCCGGAAUUAUUGGGUUUAAAGGGUGCGUAGGCGGCCAUUUAAGUCAGCGGUGAAAUUUUGCAGCUUAACUGUAACAGUGCCGUUGAUACUGUUUGGCUAGGAUUUGGUUGUAGUGUGCGGAAUGUGUGGUGUAGCGGUGAAAUGCUUAGAUAUCACACAGAACACCGAUUGCGAAGGCAGCACACUAAGUCAUUAUUGACGCUGAGGCACGAAAGUGUGGGGAUCAAACAGGAUUAGAUACCCUGGUAGUCCACACUGUAGACGAUGAUAACUCGCUGUCGGCGAUACACAGUCGGUGGCCAAGCGAAAGCAUUAAGUUAUCCACCUGGGGAGUACGACCGCAAAGGUUGAAACUCAAAGGAAUUGACGGGGGCCCGCACAAGCGGAGGAACAUGUGGUUUAAUUCGAUGAUACGCGAGGAACCUUACCCGGGCUCGAACGGUGCAUGAAUAUACGAGAGAUUGUAUAGUCCUUCGGGACAUGUAUCGAGGUGCUGCAUGGUUGUCGUCAGCUCGUGCCGUGAGGUGUCGGCUUAAGUGCCAUAACGAGCGCAACCCUUGUCAUUAGUUGCCAUCAGGUNNAGAUGGGGACUUUAAUGAGACUGCCACCGUAAGGUGUGAGGAAGGGGGGGAUGACGUCAAAUCAGCACGGCCCUUAUGUCCGGGGCGACACACGUGUUACAAUGGGAGNNNCAGAGGGCAGCUAUCCGGUGACGGAAUGCUAAUCUCCAAAACCUUUCUCAGUUCGGAUUGGAGUCUGCAACUCGACUCCAUGAAGGUGGAUUCGCUAGUAAUCGCGCAUCAGCCAUGGCGCGGUGAAUACGUUCCCGGGC